AAGAGACCCAUAUAGUAAGAACCCAUUCGACUUCUCUCGACUCUGAAUUCGGAGAAAACAAAGCAGUGAUGAUGAUGAUCAGAACAACCCGUAGUACGCUGGAAAUAAUUAAGCUGUAGAGAACCAAAGCUGAAGGAGUGUAGAGGAGAGUAUCGGUUGAGCUGAUCUUAGUGAGGAGAUUUUGUUUCUGAUCUGGAGAUCAAUUUGAUUGAUCACCGAGUCCUGUGAUCGAAAGCUAUUACGGUGGAGCCUGGAAUUUCUCUCAGUCCAGAGAUGGUAUAUUGAAGCCUGCCAGGACCAGAGAAGGAGCUGCGUAGAGUGGCGCCUAGGAGGGAGGUUCUGCAUGUGGCUUAGUGUUAAGUUCCAAUCUGAAGUUGCCGCGUAGGAACAUCGGGCAGCAGCUUCCUUCCACACAGCGAAGCUGUAAGAGCAGUUAAAGAGCAAAUGAUCACGCGAUUCCAUUCCAGAAUUGCAGAGAAGACAGUUUGGCGGAGUCUGAAGUCCCCAACUUAUCAGGCGAUCUCUCGUUGGGCAUCGGUUGAGAACAAACAACCAGGGGGGAAAUUCCAAGCGCCGUCCACAUAUCGAGAAGCCAAUGAAGCUUUCCAAGGGAUACCGAGGUGCGACGUUUUAGUAGCUGAUAAGUAGUUAGCAAGGUCCCCAAAAGGUGUCCAGUUAUCAGACCAAAACCGUGUGUUCAAGCCGUUGCCUACUCGGACUGUAAUCCACGGGAAUAUUGUGUUCCUCAUCUUCAACAGCUUCCUAGCCAUCCAGGACAUAGAUUGAUUCGGCUUCACCGUCCAGAAGUUACUGAUGUCAUCCUUCAAUAUCUCCCUUUUAAACCAAGCAACCCAUAGAGAGCCAUGUCGGAAAAACAAGAGCCAAAUGAACUUCAUGCAAGAAGCUUUAUUCCAACGUUUCAGGUUACCCUUCCAGAGAAAACACCCGCAUAAAGAAUUGAUUCUAGAGAUGCAGGCCUUUGGAAGAAUAAAAGCUGCAGACCAGAAUGUAGUGAUUCCCGCAACAACAGUCUUAAUCAACAUCAGCCGUCCUGCGAAAGAUAGAGUCUUUGCGCUCCAAGAGCUAGCGUGGUGUUCUCGACAAGCAAACGAUCUUUGACGAAGGCAGUUUGAUUAGGCACAAUAAGGUCUACAAGGAUUGGCUUCAAACGCACCACCAGAAGGCGAGAUAUGACUUUGUAUAGCGUGUUGAGCAGAGAGAUGGGUCUAAAAUCAGUAAUCUUCGAAGCUCCAGGAAACUUGGGGACCAAGGCAAGGAUAGUUGAAUUUGUCGAUGCAGGCAGGAAGCAGUUUGUGAAGAAGUGGAUAAUGGAGGCUGAUACUUCUUCUCCCACAAUAUCCCAAGAAGCUUUAUAAAACCCCGAAGAACACUUGUCAUCUUCUGUGAGAGUGCUGAUUGACAUCUGAAACUCGUUAAUGAACAGAACCAUUCCACCGGGGAGUGAAGAUAGUUUACUGGUGACGCCCUCUGGCCUAGGAUUGAUUGGAAAUGGUUUACAGCAUGGGCACUCAUCUCCAGAGGAUCAGUAAUGACAAUACCCGAAAUCAGAAUGAAUGAUCGUAUCGCAUUAUAGCUCGCUCUUGUUUGGCAGAUCCUGAAGAAGUAAGUAGUGUUUAAGUCUCCCUCUGCCAGCCAAUUAAUCCUUGACUUCUGUCUGAAGUAGCACUCUUCUAUCACUCGAAGGAAAGACCAUUUUGCGUGGAGGUCUCUUUCUGUUUGAAACGUUUGCUGAGAAGGGUUUUGCAAUGAGUCUACCUGCGCAAGUUGUAACAAACUGUUUGUGAGAUUUGCAGCAGUGCUUCCGGCUUCAGCCCACGCUAGUGAUACCACUUGGUGAAAGGUCAGAUGUUUAGUGAGGUAGUUUAGGAAACGGAAAGGUUGGGUGCCUGCAGUAGGUAGCUGAAAAGCGAGGUUUGAUAAGCAGGGGGAAUGGUCGGAUGGGAGCGGCGGGAGGAAAGAGGCAAAUGCAUUAGGGAAGGAGGCAAUGAAAAGGCUAUUUACAAGUAGACGGUCAAGUUUUUUGGCUAUAGGAGAGGAUGGGCAAGAGUUGGUCCAGGUAUAAAGAGGUCCACUAUAACGGAGAUCAAAGACACCUAGUUGAUGAAGGCAAUGUCCAAACUCAGUCAUUGGCGAAGUGAAAGAGUCGACAGCCAGAUUAGAGUGCUCCCUAUGGUGGAUAAUCUCAUUGAAGUCACCAGCUAUCAUCCAAGGAGAGGAAUCCAGAGAGAAGGUAGCACAAAUAUCAGUAAGCUCCACCCAGAGAUCUGUUCUCUCUUGAUAGGUGUUUGCUGCAUAGAUGGCAGUGUAGUAGAAAGGAGGAGCAGUGGGUAGUCUGAUUUCACAAGUUACUGACUGUCGAGAUUCAUGAAUAUUUAUCUUUUACAUUUUGAACUUGUUUCUUGGUAAAGAUGUUUCUCCACAGAUAUAUUCAUAUUCAAAUGUCAAAAGCUACCGGAUAUAUUAAAUCUAAAUUGGAAAAAGAA